rnacentral:tRNA from 1 species
GGCCUAAUGGAUAAGGCGUCUGACUUCGGAUCAGAAGACUGUAGGUUCGAGUCCUGC